AUGCCACACACACAAAAUCCCCAAUUGAAAUUAAAAAAGAAACCUCUCCCUAGUGAUUCAAGAAAAACACAAAACCUCCACUUUCGCGGUCUCUAUUCCUGUACCUAUCCCUGUUCUUAUCCCUUUCACGAGCAUCGUCGUGGUUGCGGCAGUCGGAGUCAGCGGAGGGUUUGGAAUCGGCUACGGAAUCGGAGGAAGGUCGAUCACGAGAAAGGAGCUGCUCUUGGCGGCGCUUUUGGUUGGCGAUUUUCCUCCUGGUGGCGCUGGAGUGCCAAUUGCUCGUGCUGGGCUUUGGUAAGGAAGACGGGCUUGGAUGGUGCGACAGAGUUGAUGGCUAGCCGCUACAUCCUUCCUAGUCACAGAUCUGCUCAAGCUUCCGCAUAGCUCCUGCGCACGAAAGAAAGGGGGAGAGACACGUCCGUUAUUUGUCCCUUCGCUGUGAAGUCGUCCUCAACCUUCCUCCUUGCUAUGUUGUGCGCCGCUCGAACGCACCCUCUUCCCGUUUCCUGGAAAUGAAAAAGAAGGAGAAGGAACUCCAAUCUAAGGAGGCUGAAUUGAGAAGACGGGAACAGGAUCUGAGAAGAAAAGAAGAAGCAGUUGUACGAGGCAUACAUUUUCUUUAUGGCUCCAUUCUUGGAAGACCUUAAUGUUUGCUGGAGCUGUUGGAGAUUCUCUUAGUUCUGUUAUAUAUGUUCCAUGCGAAGUGAUGAAGCAACGCAUGCAAGUGCAGGGGACAUAUUCAUCUUGGAGUUCUAUCGCCAUGAAUGAAGGCAUUGCAAUGAAUUCUAGCCAAAAACUGUAUGGUUAUUAUACAGGGAUGUUCCAUGCGGGCUGCUCAAUAUGGAGAACACAGGGAUUAAAGGGUUUAUAUGCAGGGUUGAAUUGCUUAGACAAUCAUUGACAGCUAUUGAAGAGCUACAUCUUAUUGGAAACAAUAUAAGCAGAGUACUGGUACAUUUUGUUUUUGGUUCAUUAUUCAUGUUAAAUAUCUUAACGUCUGUACACUCAGAUAUCCUCUCAUCAUGAGUACCUAUUUCUAAACUAUAGAGAGCAGUUUAAUAAACAAUAGAAAUUGAACCAUUUUGAUCACACUGCGAGAUUUCUCUAAAUCAUAGUCUCAGAAUGGAAUCCCAUUAAAGAAGGGAAUAGCAUUGUUGAUAUAUUCUUCUUUCUUUAGCAUUUUGUCAGCCUUUAUUGCUCACCUCCUCAAAGGUUUGUCAUUUUACAUGUAGCGGGGCAGUAAGUUUAUUAUUAUUAUUAUUAUUAAAGCAAGCUAAUAAUCAUGUUUCUCAUCUAGUGAAUAGUUAAUUAUGAUAAUCGCAAUAAAAAUACUAC